CAGUCGCCGCGGGAAUACGGAGGGUGCAAGCGUUAAUCGGAAUUACUGGGCGUAAAGCGCACGCAGGCGGUCUGACAAGUCAGAUGUGAAAUCCCCGGGCUUAACCUGGGAACUGCAUUUGAAACUGUCAGGCUGGAGUCUUGUAGAGGGGGGUGGAAUUCCAGGUGUAGCGGUGAAAUGCGUAGAGAUCGGGAGGAACAUCAGUGGCGAAGGCGGCCAUCUGGGACAACACUGACGCUGAAGCACGAAAGCGUGGGGAGCAAACAGGAUUAGAUACCCGGGUAGUCCCUGUCUCUUAUAC
rnacentral:rRNA from 1 species